AAACAGAAAGAACUGACAGAGGGCAUUGGAAUAGAGGAUGAUUAUAACACUGAAGACCGAGAGGUCCUUCCCCUUGAGUGUAAGGAUGUGGAAGAUAUUGAUAGUCCUGAUGUGAAAGCAGAGCUUCCCUCCCACCUCAGCAUCACUAAGGAUGUUAUGGAGCGCUGCAUUCAUCUGCUGUCUGAUCCCAGCCUCAGGCUCCGACUGAAGGUACUGGACGUGCUGGAGUUGUGCCUUCAGGUGCUGAGUGAGAGGGAAAACGAACUGCUGCCUAUGGCUCAUCGCUGCUGGCCAGCACUCCUGCAGAGACUCACAGCCGAUGACCCAUGAGCAGUCCUCAGAGCCUUCAGGGUAAGUAAAACAAACCUCUCUUUUCAUUACGUGAGUCAAAAGUAUUCAAGUCGUCUUUAGUUUUAAACUCUUAGUAGUGAAAGAAUGAAAGAUGGUGCCCAACAACAGGCUUAUUUCAUUCAGAAAUAGUUCUAUUAUUUUCUUCUUUGGGUUGUAAUGUGAAGACUCUUUAAACUAACAUUUCUUCUAUCAGCACA